rnacentral:rRNA from 1 species
AGUGGGGAAUCUUAGACAAUGGGCGCAAGCCUGAUCUAGCCAUGCCGCGUGAGCGAUGAAGGCCUUAGGGUUGUAAAGCUCUUUCAGUGGGGAAGAUAAUGACGGUACCCACAGAAGAAGCCCCGGCUAACUCCGUGCCAGCAGCCGCGGUAAUACGGAGGGGGCUAGCGUUGUUCGGAAUUACUGGGCGUAAAGCGCACGUAGGCGGACUGGAAAGUCAGGGGUGAAAUCCCGGGGCUCAACCCCGGAACUGCCUUUGAAACUCCCAGUCUUGAGGUCGAGAGAGGUGAGUGGAAUUCCGAGUGUAGAGGUGAAAUUCGUAGAUAUUCGGAGGAACACCAGUGGCGAAGGCGGCUCACUGGCUCGAUACUGACGCUGAGGUGCGAAAGCGUGGGGAGCAAA